AUUGAACGCUGGCGGCAUGCUUUACACAUGCAAGUCGAACGGUAAUAGGCCGCCAGGUGCUGACGAGUGGCGAACGGGUGUGUAAUGCAUCGGAACGUGCCCAGUCGUGGGGGAUAACUACUCGAAAGAGUAGCUAAUACCGCAUACGAUCUAUGGAUGACAGCGGGGGUCCGUAAGGCCUCGCGCGAUUGGAUCGGCCGAUGUCAGAUUAGUUAGUUGGUUGGGUAAAGGCUCACCAAGCCAACGAUCUGUAGCUGGUCUGAGAGGACGACCAGCCACACUGGAACUGAGACACGGAACAGACUCCUACGGGAGGCAGCAGUGGGGAAUGGUGGACAAUGGGCGAAAGCCUGAUCAAGCAAUGCCGAGUGCAGGAAGAAGGCCUUCGGGUUGUAAAAUGCUUUUGUACGGAACGAAACGGCUCUGGUUAAUACCCGGGGCUAAUGACGGUACCGGAAGAAUAAGCACCGGCUAACUACGUG
rnacentral:rRNA from 1 species